rnacentral:rRNA from 1 species
AUACGUAGGUGACAAGCGUUAUCCGGAUUUACUGGGUGUAAAGGGCGUGUAGGCGGUUUAGCAAGUCAGAAGUGAAAUUCCCGGGCUUAACUUGGGCGCUGCUUCUGAAACUGCUUUACUUGAGUGCUGGAGAGGAUAGUGGAAUUCCUAGAUUCGCGGUAAACUUCGCAGAUAUUAGGAGGAACACCGGUGGCGAAGGCGGCUAUCUGGACAGUAACUGACGCUGAGGCGCGAAAGCACGGGGAGCAAACAGGAUUAGAUACCCUGGUAGUCCGUGCCGUAAACGAUGAAUACUAGGUGUAGGGGGUAUCGACUCCCUCUGUGCCGCAGUUAACACAUUAAGUAUUCCACCUGGGGAGUACGGCCGCAAGGUUGAAACUCAAAGGAAUUGACGGGG